ensembl:lncRNA
GAGUGUGGGUCUGUGCUGUGCUUCUGGGCAGGCCUUCCUCUUUGCAAGAUCCCGGAGAUGGGAAUUUGAAAGAUGGUUGAUAGAUCUAUGUUAAAAUGGCAAAGCCGAGUGCAAGAAGCAGCUGGAGCUAGUGGGAUGCACACAGUUUCAGAGUCAGGAGAUUCUAGUACUGGCUCUCUCUGCUUGACACUUGCUGAGUGACCUUGGAUGAGAAAGCUGAGGCUUACAAGAGGAUUGGACUGGCAAAAGGUCAGACAGCCUGUGAUCUCCUUAAAGACUGGAGCUGUGUCUUAGUCAUCUCUGCAUUAUCAAGACCACCCCAAUGCCUGACCUGCAGGAGCUCAGUUGCACUUAUUGAAAAGAAAGAAGGAAGGAAGGACAAUAAAAAGGAAAGAAUGAAUUUUUUUUUUAUAGUCCUGGAAAACAGCAUGGUUCCAAGUCCUGGCAUUGCCAAUAAUUGCUGGGUGACCUUAGGCAAGAUAAAGAAUUUGUUUCAGACUCAAUUUCCUUAUCUGUUAGUGAAUUAGAUAAUCCCCCAAAUUCUUUCCAGCUCAAACAUUUUGUAAUCUUAUGCCUGUAAAUCUAUGGUUACCAACUCUUUCAUACCCAAAGCCACUUUAUAUAACAAGUAUUUUGAAAUCUCCUUUUGCCAACAUGAAAUGAAAUGAUUCAAUAUUACAACCUACCUUCAUCCAAUUAGGAAAAAAAAUACCCUAACUGUAAUUUAAAGGGGAAAUAAAAGGAAAACAAUUUAUGAUAAAAUAAUACAUAUUCCUUUAUGUAAAAGUAUGGCUAGUACCAGAAGAUAUGAUGAAGGAGUCAGAACUUCACACUACUCUGCUGAAUCACUUUGAAUGAUGUGACAGUUACAAAUGCAGAGUGAUGCAGGUAGGUUACUUUGGUGCCUCAUAUGCCAGAAGAAGUACUGAUGUCGUUACAGUUCUAAACUAGCAGCACACAACAUUUCCAGAAUUGACAUGGUAGUCAUAUUCCUGGAAAAUUCAAGAUAUGUAAAGCAAAGGUAGAUUUUAAGCUAGAUAAUUAAAAAAACAGGCUUUUCAGCCAUAUAAAUAUCUGUGGAACAUUCAAAAGCUCUCUGAGAAGCAGAAAGAUUCUUCAUAGUUCAGAACUGUCCGUGCCAUUGAAGAUCUCUGGAAUCCUUGGCUCCUGCCCACUAUGAACCAGCAGAACCUCCUUGUACCAACCAAGAACCUGCCCACCUACCAAAUAUUAAAAACGCUAUCCACAGGGUGGUAUCAUUUCUUCCAGGAGUUAGUGCUCUAAGCUUUAAAAUGUUCUGAGCAGAGCAGGCUUCAAGGAUGAACAAUCUGUGUAGUCAUCAGGGCUCCCUGCUCUUUGAAGGAUCAUGUGCUUGAAUGCUCUGUUGUUACUCUCCUGAAUUUCUUAAUGAUUUUUGAAUAAGGGUCCUUAUGUGUUCACUUUACAGCAGGCCCUGCAAAUCAUGUAGCCAGUCCUGGCUAUGUAUUAUGACAGCAUUGCUGUAUUCCUAAGCAUCUGAGAGAUGUUUAGUGUUGAAACGACUAGUUUCCUUUGCCUAGUAGUGCUUUCUUUUAAUUAGCUAGGAUAUCCUUAAUUACUUUAAUUAAUUAAUUUGUUCAUUUAUUAAACUAAUACACACUGAGCUUCUAUUAUACACCAGGUAGACUCUGGAGUCAGAAGACCUGAACCGCGAUCCUAAAAGAGCUUAUAGAUUCUUGGAUUCUCUGACUUUAAGAUGGAAUUAUUAAUAAUAACUCUCUUUACUUAUUG